GAGGUCAGGGCUUUAUUUAUAGAAGCAGAUAUACAUUGAGAUUCAUUUUCUUUCCCUUGCUGUAAUCCACCUAGGAUCAUCCAAAAUAGAAAGAAACAGGCAGACGUGCAAGUAAUACAUUAAAUGGGCCAGGUCCUCUGGCAGCACCCAUUAGUGCAGCACCAAACCAAUGGGAAAAAAAGGCAUUUUAUCACGGCUGGGGCUCCUCUCUGUUAUUUCUCACCAGGAAGGGAAGGGCAUAAAACCAGAAAUAAUAAAGCAAAAGCCACCAAGCAACAAAUACGUCCCAGAUCUGCAAGGCAAGUUGUCACUCCUAUGCUCUCAGUUGCUGGGUAGUGCAAGAAGCAGAGCGCGGGUCCGAAGGAGAAGGCAUCGUCAGCAUAGGGGCUCUGAGAGAAAGCCCAGCAGGAGAGGAGCUGCAGGUACAGUCCCCAGGUGGCCAUGCUGAGGGUGGACAUGCUGCCAGCCGCGGGCACGGCUCUCGCCCGCUCCCUCUCUCGCCGUGCCUUCAGGAAGAAGGAAUGCCAACCAUUUCCCAUUCACUCUUCUCCUUACACUAGGCACGGUUAUAUUUAACUCCCGCGCUGGAUCAGUUGCCCCCAUUGUGGAUGUUAGCUGCUAAAACGGUGGCGGGGGGGAUUCUGUUUGGGUCCCAGAAGCAAAAAGGCACUUUGGAUGAUAAUAAUAACGAGCUGGAAAGAAAGAGAUUAUAAACUGGACUAUAAACAGCAUCCUUUGGUGCCGUCAACCAGACACCGACGUCAGGAGGGCUAAAAUCCCUGAAUAAUCAACUUGUACAGGUCGCUAAUUGCCUUAAUGAGCGAGAUGAGCGGCGAUCUGAUGUGUUUAGGGCUGGCGGUGCUUUGCAGUCGCUCACACAGCACACAGAGCUGAGGGAUACCACGGAGGGUCUGCAGCCACAGAGCGGGUCAGUAUGUGGUGUUAUAAGUGAAAACGCCAGCAUCCCUACUAGUGAUGCACUGUGCGACUGCAAGGAGUGCACUGACAGCGUGCAACAGGUGAGAGAUACUAUAUGAGUGCUGCUAUGGGUCGGCUGAAAUGCAGUCGGCUCUGUAGCAACGGCAGCACUACUGGAGGACAACAAAGCUCACAUUUUUGGAACAGCAACGCACGCCUUUUGUUACCUGCAUGACAGCCUGGGGUCUCUGUGCAUUGCUCCAGCCAGCAAGGCUUUGCAAACAAGCUUCCACAACGAGAAUAACUUACAGAGGCGAGAAGACGUGUGAACAAUGGAAAGAAGCCCUUGAAAUGUAACAGAUUUGCAUCUGAAAAUGUUUGACCAGCUCAACACUCAUUCCAAGCAGCGACUGAGUAAUUUCAAAUCCCUCUGAAAUCCUCCUGCAGUCUUUUAGAAACUGAAAGCUUGUAGUACAAAAUACAUUGCUUGAAAAGGAAAUUAAUGACUCCAAUAAUACCAUGAAGAACCAAGAUCAGACAGUAGGACAUAUAUUUUUCCCUUCUUCCACCACCCUGUUAUCAGCUUGUGUACUUGGGUCUCUGAACUAGAAAUGGAAGUGCAUGAUCAGGUAAAAAAAUGCAGUGACAUCUUGCAUAAGGAAUAGUGCAAGGAUUUCCAUCACAAACCACAUCCACCCUCAUGAUUACACAAAAUAAGGUAGGGACAAGGAAAAUACCUCUUCCUUUCCUGAAAUGGCCAGAAGCGAUACAGAAAACCAGGGCUGCUGCUGAGCUCCAAAAGAAUUCAACUUUGCAGUCGUUUUUUAAACAGAAAUGUUUGGUCCAUCUGUUCUUCAGUGAAGAACCCUGAUUGAAAAUAGAUGCUUCAUCAGCUUUCUUCUCUCUUUUAACUUAACAUCUCCACCACUCCGAAGUCUGAGCCAGCUUUACUUGAACCAACUCAGCCAAUGCCAGAUUUCCUUCUGUAGGCACACACUUGAGGCAAACGCACCAUCUUGCAAAAGAAAGCCUGAAAGGAGAUGUUCAGAUUCAGAUUUGAAGAGAUCUCUUUGUUGCAAUAUAGCUGUAGUCCACCAUGUCAUUAGUUUUUAGGGGAACUACCAUGAGGUCAUCAGAGAGAAUAGCCCUUGUUGCAGUCAGCAGGU
rnacentral:lncRNA from 7 species